GUAAAUGAAUGUCUUGGGUUACCUGUGCCCAGGGCCACAGUAACCCAAGACAUUCAUUUAUCUAUCUCUUAGUGAAAAAUAGAUAAAUGAAUGUCUUGGGUUGCUGUGGCCCUGGGCACAGUAACCCAAGACAUUCAUUUAUCUAUCUUUU
rnacentral:sRNA from 1 species